rnacentral:rRNA from 1 species
UCGGGGUACACGAGCGGCGAACGGGUGAGUAACACGUGGGUGAUCUGCCCUGCACUUCGGGAUAAGCCUGGGAAACUGGGUCUAAUACCGGAUAUGACCAAAGGCUGCAUGGCUUUUGGUGGAAAGGUUUACUGGUGCAGGAUGGGCCCGCGGCCUAUCAGCUUGUUGGUGGGGUAAUGGCCUACCAAGGCGACGACGGGUAGCCGACCUGAGAGGGUGACCGGCCACACUGGGACUGAGACACGGCCCAGACUCCUACGGGAGGCAGCAGUGGGGAAUAUUGCACAAUGGGCGAAAGCCUGAUGCAGCGACGCCGCGUGAGGGAUGAAGGCCUUCGGGUUGUAAACCUCUUUCAGCAGGGACGAAGCGAGAGUGACGGUACCUGCAGAAGAAGCACCGGCUAACUACGUGCCAGCAGCCGCGGUAAUACGUAGGGUGCGAGCGUUGUCCGGAAUUACUGGGCGUAAAGAGUUCGUAGGCGGUUUGUCGCGUCGUCUGUGAAAACCCAUCGCUCAACGAUGGGCCGGCAGGCGAUACGGGCAGACUUGAGUACUGCA